rnacentral:rRNA from 1 species
UACAGAGACUGCAAGCGUUAUUCGGAUUCACUGGGCGUAAAGGGUGCGCAGGCGGCCAAGUGUGUGAGGCGUGAAAGCCCGGGGCUUAACCCCGGAAUUGCACCUCGAACUACAUGGCUAGAGCAUUGGAGAGGGUAGCAGAAUUCACGGUGUAGCAGUGAAAUGCGUAGAUAUCGAGAGGAACACCGGUGGCGAAGGCGGCCAACUGGACGAAUACUGACGCUGAGACUCGAAAGCGUGGGGAGCAAACAGG